ACCUAGAUGAGAAGUCCCAAGUAGGACGAAAUGCGCAUCAUGGAU
rnacentral:hammerhead_ribozyme from 1 species